AGCUGCAGAACCAGCUAAUGAGUUUCCUUCUGAUAACAGGUUUGUUAAGAGCCUGGUAAGAAGUGCAAGAUUGACAAAGUUCUGGAGGCCAGAAUUCUAAAUUCCCUCCCACUGAGUCAAGGUGGGAGCAGGGCAAGUGCCUUCGGAGGCUCUGUGGGAGAAUCCAUUUCCUGGCUCUGGAGGCAGCCUGCACUCCUCGACUUUUGAUGCCCUCCUUGAAUGACUCCAAUUUCUCGCUUCCAUCACUACACCUCCCACCACUCUCCCAUCACCUGCUCUGCUCUUACAAGGAUCAGUGAGUACAUCAACUUGCCACCUAAAGAAGCCGGGAUAAUCUUCCCUGCCAAAGGUCCUUAACUUCAUUACAUCUGCAAAGCUUCUUUUAC
rnacentral:lncRNA from 1 species